UUAGGCUGGGAGGUUGCUCCGUCUUUUUCUGCCAUCUUCUCCAUAAAUCACGUUUCCUGCCAUGGAUCGUGGGUUCAAUAAACUCCCAAUUAUAACCUCCACCAUGAUAUACACUACGGUUAUGUCUCCAGAGUCGUAUUACCACUAUCUCCAAGCCCUACACCUUCAACUUUCCCUUAUCUCUUACUUAUCAUCAGAAGAUCCAAUUAGGGUUUCUCCUCCCUCUUCAGGCUUUAAGACCAUGGAAAUGGGAAGUUCCACCACCAGCACUGUCUAUAUCCAGUCGACACCGGCGCCGCCUCCGUUCUACACCCUUCCGUCCCUUAACACACACUGGCGCCACAAAAAUUACUGAAAUCUGUGGGUUUUAUGACAUCCGCCAUAGCAGCUCUUCUCCAAGACUAAUCAGGGAAGACAGUAAUGGUGGGCAAUAUCAAUGGUGUGGUCUCUUCCUACCUUCACCUCUUCAAAGCUUCCCUAGGUCGACUGGGAUGGCAUUUGCGACUGUGAAUAUGGAUACAACUAGUAGCGGAUUCAAGUUACCGCAGGAUUGUGCAAUUUGCCCAAAGUUAUGUUCACCCGUUUCCAUGCAAGUUAGACAGAGUGUUAUUUAUAUGGAUGAUGUGUUACUCUUGGAAAGUGGGGAGCAAGGAUCGGCUUUUUGUGAGGAUAAAUGUUGGUUUCAAUGGGCAGAAGCCGAUAAGUUGGGCAUAGUGGAAUGAUCCCAUAUUGUUUCCCAUAGUUUGGACCUAGCAUGAUGCAACAGGUAUGCUUCCUAUCAAGUUAAUAGAUCAUAUGCUGCUUGAACAUUGCCUAAACCCUAUUUUAUAAUUAACCAUAAGUUACUAAACCUGUAAACAUGUAUACAGGUAAAUAUAAUACUUAAUUACUAAAAAAAUACAUUAAUUGUUUAUUCUGAAAGUGGCAGAUAGUUAUUUUGGAGCAAGGGGAUAUGUCAUUUGUUCAUAUCCAAGAUUAGUAUCCAUUUUAGGAAGACAAAAAGUAUGAUACACUGUUUGAUGACUUCAUAAAUUUUGAUAUAAUGUAUAAAUUUUGAUAUUUAUAUUGUUGGGUUAGUUGGUUGUUCGCGGGUUAGUUCACGGAUCGGAUAGAAACAGUUCGGUAGCUUGCAGGUUACCCGGGUCACAUGUUAGCAGGUUAUCAACCAACUUCGUCAUGUCCUGGAAAUCAACACGGAGAUUAUCCUCAACUUUCUUAUUCGUACCCAUCUCAAUACGACCAAAAUUACCCAGUUUAAGAGUCAUAUCCACCAUCUAACACCACCACCUGAACUGGCAUGGGCACCACCACCUGCAGCUACAACUCCCGCUCCCACCUAUGGUGGCCCACCACUUAGGCCGCAUAAUAAGUUUGGCAGGAUAUAUUCAACAAUUACCGAUAGUUACAGCCCACCGGGACAGAUAAGGAACAAUGCCGCCACCAGCAACCACUACAGAAAAACAGAAUGUGCCAGCUCAUACAUUCAACCUCUUGCUGCAACGAGGCAGAUUUUCCCAGAUGAUAACAGGUUAUCUGUUGCAAAGAGCUUGGGGGAUGUUAGUGUGUCUAACCGCGGGAAGCUGAAGCUAGAGUGGCGCAUAGGGUUUUAAUUGGUAUGCAUCAAAUAAUACUCGCCAUUCGAUUGUCUCAUCUUUGAUUUGGAUAAUCCUUUGUACAUUUCAAACGUCAUAUUCGUGGAUGCCACUAGGCGUAACAUCAACUGAAGAAGAAAUGUCAGUUAGUGCAUCAAAAGUUUGAAAGCGAAAAUGACUGAUCAGUUAAGAAGGUUUUUUUUUUAAGUAUAUAAGAUCAGGUGUUGAGAGCUUGCCAGGUUGAUUCUGAGCAAUUUGAUAAGAUCUUAAAGUAUAUAACAUCAGGUGUGGUGUUGAGAGCGGUGUUACUCUUGAAACUGGAGGCCAAAGAUUUGGCUCAAAUGGAUAUGAUAUCCAACCAACUGUUUUCUCAGAUGUUCAGAUAAAGCUACGCGCUUUCGAAUGGGCAGUGGUUAUGUCACCGACAUCGAUUUGGGGCAAAGAGGUGGUGGUCGAUGUUGGUAGGUGACGCAGGUUUGGGGAAGAGCGACGGUGAUUUGUGGUAGUAAGCGGUGUAGAUGCCCUAAAAAUGGAUAUUGGUGGAGUGGAUGACACGUGUGGGGCAUUGUUACGCUAUUAGCGCAACCCGUCCACUGGACGGGUAUUAAACUAGUUCGCAUGGUAUGAAUGAAACGGUGGAACAUAAUAUAUAAUAUGGUGUGAUGAUUUGAUAUCAACCAAAACGGUGGGAUAGAUGGUUUAAUAAACAGGUAGAAUAACAUUGACCGGUGGAAAAGUUGGUGGUAAAAUAAUAUUGACCGGUGCAACUUUCCUAAUUGUAUAUAUGCAUUUUGAAUUUGAAUGAACCGGUGCCUGACAAUGAAGUGUUGCGAUGAUUUAUUUAAAGGCACCCUAAGUUGGUAAUUGUAUAAGGACAUAAUUUUUGGAGGGUAUACCUAUUGGCACACCCAAAUGCCUAUAUGCACACCAAAA